rnacentral:rRNA from 1 species
AGUAAUUAAUAUUAAAAAUUUAAGAAAUUAAGAUUUAGUAAUAUAAAAAUUAAUAACUAAUUUUGUGCCAGCAGUUGCGGUUAAACAAAAGUUAAAUUAAAUUAUUUCAGUAUAUAAUAAAUAAUUAAUUUAUUAAAAUAAAUAUUAAAUUAUUAAGUGAAAUUUUAAUUUAAUUAAAUUUUAUUUUAAAAUUAUGAUUUAAUAAAUUUUAAUAUAAACUAGGAUUAGAUACCCUAUUAUUAAAAAUUWAMWWURWWAUACUAAAAUAGUAAAUAAUAAUUUAUUGAAACUUAAAUAAUAUGGCGGUAUUUUAGUUCAUUUAGAGGAAUCUGUCUAAUAAUUGAUAAUCCACGAAUAAAUUUACUUAAUUUAUAAUUUUGUAUAUCAUUGUUAAAAAAAUAUUUUUUAGGAAAAAUAAUAUUUAAAAAUUAUAAUAAAAAAUUAAAUCAGAUCAAGAUGCAGAAUAUAAUUAAGAAUAUGAUGGAUUACAUUAAAUAUAUUUAUAUGAAUAAUUUUAUUGUAAUAAAAAUUUGAAGGUGGAUUUAAAUGUAAUUUUAAUUAGUUUAUUAAAAUGAUUAAAAAUUAAAAUAUGUACAUAUUGCCCGUCACUUUCAUUUAAAAAUUGAAAUAAGUCGUAACAAAGUAGAGGUACUGGAAAGUGUUUCUAGAAAGA